AGUGAACGCUGGCGGUAGGCCUAACACAUGCAAGUCGAACGGCAGCACAGUAAGAGCUUGCUCUUACGGGUGGCGAGUGGCGGACGAGUGAGGAAUACAUCGGAAUCUACUUUUUCGUGGGGGUUAACGUAGGGAAACUUACGCUCAUACCGCAUACGACCUACGGGUGAAAGCAGGGGAUCUUCGGACCUUGCGCGAUUGAAUGAGCCGAUGUCGGAUUAGCUAGUUGGCGGGGUAAAGGCCCACCAAGGCGACGAUCCGUAGCUGGUCUGAGAGGAUGGUCAGCGACACUGGAACUGAGACACGGUCCAUACUCCUACGGGAGGCAGCAGUGUGGAAUAUUGGACAAUGGGCGCAAGCCUGAUCCAGCCAUACCGCGUGGGUUAAGAAGGCCUUCGGGUUGUAAAGCCCUUUUGUUGGGAAAGAAAAGCAGCAGGUUAAUACCCCGCUGUUCUGACGGUACCCAAAGAAUAAGCACCGGCUAACUUCGUG
rnacentral:rRNA from 1 species